CAGCUGAACACACAAAAAAAAUUAUAAAAGAACCACACAAUCACAGAUACUAUUUGAGAUGCCGCCAUUGAUGCUACCGAAGUACCGCGCACUUGAUGCUGCCGAAGGUACUGUCCGCGUAAAAAUGGUGACCAGCACGUAUAAAUAUAUCCUCUUUUUCUUCCCCUCAGAGAAAGAUGAGUAUCCAUCUUUUCACCACUCGGAUGUCACCGAUUCUCUGUAUACUCAUUUUUCUCUAUUGUUCAUUGUUCUAUUGCAAGGACAGUGUACAUCGGAGUAAACGAUCGAUCCAGCAGUCAAAGAUGUCACUUCUAAUGAAAUUCUGACAUGGUGUAGAGUGACACCUCACAACAGGUCCAAAUUCCGUAUCCUGUAACACUUUAUUUCAUUAUUUGAUAUAUAUUUUAUUUAUUUUAUGGAGGCUUUCUGAGACCUCAC
rnacentral:lncRNA from 1 species